CCGUAAANGGACUUGAGGCACGGGUCAUUCCAAUUGCUGACUUACGCGGACUCCCAGCGUGUAACGCCUGGGGCGAUACGGCCGCAAGGUUAAAACUCAAAUAGAAUAUGACGGGGGCCCGCGACAAGCGGUGGAGCAUAGUAGGUAUUAAUAUCGAUAGCAACGCGANAGAACCUAUACCUACUACUAUGACAUACCAGAGAACUAUACGCAGAGAUAGCUUAUGGUAGCCUUCGGGAACUCUAGAGACAGGUAGCUAGCAUAGGCUAGUCGUACAGCUCGUGUAUGUAGAAAUGUUGGGUUAAGUACCCGCAACGAGCGCAACCCUUAUACCUUUGUUGCCAGCGGUUAGGCCGGGAACUCAAAGGAGACUGCCAGUGAUAAACUGGAGGAAGGUAGGGGAUGACGUACAAGUACAUACAUGGCCCUUACGAGUAGGGCUACACACGUGCUACAAUGGCGCAUACAAAGAGAAGCGACCUCGCGAGAGCAAGCGGACCUCAUAAAGUGCGUCGUAGUCCGGAUUGGAGUCUGCAACUCGACUCCAUGAAGUCGGAAUCGCUAGUAAUCGUGGAUCAGAAUGCCACCGUGAAUACUUCCCCCNGG
rnacentral:rRNA from 1 species